rnacentral:rRNA from 1 species
UACGAAGGGGGCUAGCGUUGCUCGGAAUCACUGGGCGUAAAGGGUGCGUAGGCGGGUUUUUAAGUCAGAGGUGAAAUCCUGGAGCUCAACUCCAGAACUGCCUUUGAUACUGAAAGUCUUGAGUAUGGGAGAGGUGAGUGGAACUGCGAGUGUAGAGGUGAAAUUCGUAGAUAUUCGCAAGAACACCGGUGGCGAAGGCGGCCCGCUGGGCUGUGGCUGACGCUGAGGCGCGACAGCGUGGGGAGCAAACAGG